rnacentral:rRNA from 1 species
AUUGCCUCAGUAACGGCGAGUGAAGCGGCAAAAGCUCAAAUUUGAAAUCUGGCUCUUUCAGGGUCCGAGUUGUAAUUUGUAGAAGAUGUUUCGGGUGUGGUCCCAGUCUAAGUUCCCUGGAACUGGACAUCACAGAGGGUGAGAAUCCCGUAUGUGACUGGGUACCUACGUCCAUGUGAAACUCUUUCGACGAGUCGAGUUGUUUGGGAAUGCAGCUCAAAAUGGGUGGUAAAUUUCAUCUAAAGCUAAAUAUUGGCCAGAGACCGAUAGCGCACAAGUAGAGUGAUCGAAAGAUGAAAAGCACUUUGGAAAGAGAGUUAAACAGUACGUGAAAUUGUUGAAAGGGAAGGGCAUGCAAUCAGACUUGCGCCUAGUUGAUCAUCCGGGCUUUUGCCCGGUGCACUCGAUUAGGCUCAGGCCAGCAUCAGUUUAGAGGGUUGGAUAAAGGCCUUGGGAAUGUGGCCCCUCUCGGGGGGUGUUAUAGCCCAAGGUGCAAUGCAGCCACUCUGGACUGAGGACCGCGCUUCGGCUAGGAUGCUGGCGUAAUGGUUGUAUGCCGCCCGUCUUGAAACACGGACCAAGGAGUCUAACAUCUAUGCGAGUAUUUGGGUGUUAAACCCAUAUGCGUAAUGAAAGUGAACGGAGGUGAGAGCCCUUAAGGGUGCAUCAUCGACCGAUCCUGAUGUCUUCGGAUGGAUUUGAGUAAGAGCAUAGCUGUUGGGACCCGAAAGAUGGUGAACUAUGCGUGAAUAGGGUGAAGCCAGAGGAAACUCUGGUGGAGGCUCGCAGCGGUUCUGACGUGCAAAUCGAUCGUCAAAUUUGCGUAUAGGGGCGAAAGA